UACGAAGGGUGCAAGCGUUGUUCGGAAUUACUGGGCGUAAAGCGCGCGUAGGCGGGCUUAUAAGUCGAUUGUGAAAUCCCUGGGCUUAACCUGGGAACUGCAGUCGAAACUGUAAGUCUUGAAUGUCUGAGAGGACGGCGGAAUAACCGGUGUAGUAGUGAAAUACGUAGAGAUCGGUUAGAACACCUGAGGCGAAGGCGGCUAUCUGGCGGCACAUUGACGCUGAGGCGCGAAAGCGUGGGGAGCAAACAGG
rnacentral:rRNA from 1 species